rnacentral:pre_miRNA from 1 species
UUUGGGAGUGGGGUCCCUCAGCCCGGAUUGCGAGAGGGUGCAGGCCAGGCUGAGGGACCCCUACCAGUGCAUU